ACCAACAUACCUCAAAGCGUUAAAUACAAGGGAAUUCAAAGUAGUUCAUAUCAUCAUCAAGUUUAUUCAGUCUUUUUUAAUUUAAAAAUUCUUCUUGGCUUUUCAAACAUGAUAAUUUUGCUUUAUUUUCCUUUCAUCUUAGCAUUAUGAUGGUAGCGCCCACAGAAUAAAAAUGGAUUAUGAGGAUGCAGACAGUCUGUUACUUUAGAAGUUACAAAAAAGAAAAUUGAAGAAUUCUCAGUAAGUGGCAAGAGUGGCCACAUGCUAAUUUGUUCAAUCAUGCAGCAAAGAGAUAGAUAACUACUUCCCAAAAUAUGAUUGCUAGCCUUAUGCCUGCAUCACUCUGAGGGAUGAAGAAAAAAGGUUGCUGAAAAUUCCAUGCCAGCCUGAACUACAAGUUUUAUAAAAACUAGAGCAAAAGCUUUCACUGUUAAUUUAUCUAAAUCAAUAUAGUAUUAAUUCCCUUAAAGUAUAAAAUAUAAUUAUUGGCAUCCAUGAGGGUUUUUUUAAUGUAUAGAAUCUUAAAAGAAUAAUGUUAGGCCACUGGAGUCUUAAGAAGUGUGCACAUAUGAUCCUUACUGGCUUCAAUUUUGUCAUCAAAUUUAUCACUAGGUGUUUAAGUCAUUCUGGAUUAGGCUGGUUUUAGAAGUGGAGGAUUAAAGGAAAAGAUGUUACUUAAUGGGUCCACAUUCUCUCCUGCUACUUUCUUUUGCCACCCCAAGAUCUGGCUUUUAUGGUGGGUCAUUAUGUUACCGUUUUAAGAAGAAUAAAACAAGUUGGUCUCAUUUUCCAAGCAAUAGCCCUUGCACAGAAGAGUUGUGGCUUUAAAAGCUACACCACAUUUGCUACAGAUAUAUUCCAAUCAUCAGAAGCUACAUAGUGUCUUACUAAAGGUUGAGCACAGAGACACUAAUCGGGCAUUGCCUCCCAUCCAAGUUUAAACAUUGUAUCAUUGCAUAGGUGUGAAACCUUAGUAGAUAAUUUUAACUUGAACUCUGAGUGUGGUGGCUACACAGAUUCUAGUCCCUUUGUUUUUGAGGCUGUCUCAUGUUUGGCAGCAUCAUGCACCUUGAAGAGCAUGCACUUAGUGGGGCUUAAUCACAGAUAUGCAUGUGUAUUAAUGACUUAAAACUUUGGAGAAAAAAAUGUAUCAAUUUGGGACAGUUAUAAUGGGGGGAAAUUGCAGAAAUGUUUGUUUCUUAAGAAAAGGAUUUUCACACUUGGAUUCUAUUCAAAGUAGAAGUAACUGCUACACAGGGCAUACUUUCCUAUUAGGUUGUUAUUUCUAUUUCUCUCUGUCCUCAAAGGCUGUAUGUGAAAGAUUUGGACUGAAAAAUCCAAAUGAUAUUAGUAAUAAAUGUAACUUGAAAACC
rnacentral:lncRNA from 1 species